rnacentral:sRNA from 1 species
CAGCGACCUGUUCGCCAGCUGCAGGAAGGGGGAUGUGGGCCGAGUGCGGUACCUGCUGGAGCAGCGAGACGUGGAGGUGAAUGUGCGGGACAAGUGGGACAGCACCCCCUUGUACUAUGCCUGCUUGUGUGGGCACGAGGAGCUGGUACUCUACCUUCUGGCCAAUGGAGCCCGCUGCGAGGCCAACACCUUCGAUGGUGAGCGCUGCCUCUAUGGGGCACUGAGUGACCCCAUCCGCCGGGCUCUACGUGAUUACAAGCAGGUCACGGCUUCCUGCAGGAGGCGGGAUUACUAUGACGACUUCUUGCAGCGGCUUCUAGAGCAGGGCAUCCACAGUGACGUGGUCUUUGUAGUACACGGGAAGCCAUUCCGGGUGCAUCGCUGCAUCCUGGGUGCACGUAGUGCCUACUUUGCGAACAUGCUGGACACCAAAUGGAAGGGCAAGAGUGUCGUGGUUCUCAGGCACCCACUGAUCAACCCCGUGGCCUUUGGGGCCCUGCUGCAGUACCUGUACACAGGUGACCCCCUGGGUCCAGGGUAGGAGGAAAGGGAGUGGGCCGUCCUUCUGGACAGCAGUACACCUAGGUGUGGCUGGGCUGACCUUUCACCUCUAGACACUUCAUGGUCCCCCCAGGGUGGUUCCAGCUGCCUCUCGGGUUGGGUUGCAAGAGAGAGGACUAGUGUGCCUGCUCAGGAAGAGCUUGUCCCACCCACAUGCUGAGGCCCUCCCAUCUGUUCCCUGGGGC